GAAAUGCGAUAAGUAAUGUGAAUUGCAGAAUUCCGUGAAUCAUCGAAUCUUUGAACACACAUUGCGCCCUCUGGUAUUCCGGGGGGCAUGCCUGUCCGAGCGUCAUUGCACACCCUCAAGCGCGGCUUGUGUGUUGGGCCCCCGCGUCCUUGCCUCCUGAAAGGACGGGCCCGAAAUGCAGUGGCGGCUUCGCGGUUAUCCGAUCAGCCAGAGCGUAUGGGGACUUUCUCUCUGUCACACGCCCGCGGCGCGGACCGACGCCUGUCGACCUUUAUUCAUCUUUUUCUCGGUUGACCUCGGAUCAGGUAGGGAUACCCGCUGAACUUAAGC
rnacentral:misc_RNA from 1 species